ACAAAAUAGUUUAAAAAGAAUAAUGGCCUGUGGCGCUGUAGGUGUGUAGCUUUUGGA
rnacentral:tRNA from 1 species